rnacentral:lncRNA from 1 species
UCAUAUUAGAGCAUAAAAUCAGAUCCCAACAUUUACAGACAAAAUUAGCUUACUAACAACUGCCAACCGUUGCAGCAUUUCACAUUAUCAGAUAUCUGUCACGAAAGUCACUUCAUAUAUAGUCAAGUACCUUGCAUAUUUCUCUUUAACCAAAACAAUCUUUUACUGUAAACCAGAUAGACCCUUGGCUUACAAGACCACCCUAAUUUUUGGAAAUGUCAAAAUAAAAAGAAAGAAAAAACUAUAGCAGUCAUUUUGUCUCACUACGUUACAUCCUCACGUGAAGUUGUGCGAAUUAUGGCUGCUCAAUUAGUUGAAUGCAAUAAUAGUCUCCACCAAAUAUUUUGGAGGAUUUCGCCUUAAUCAACUUAAAAUUAAUGGCGGCAUACAAGUGGUCAAGUUCUUCUUAUGCUAUAAAAGGAACAUGGAUUUGGACAAGGGGUUGUUUGAUCUUUCUUUCCCUUAUGUGCAAUCUUGGUUCUUAAGCUAAACAAAAAUAGUUGUUUCAUUUUUUCUUUUUGGUUCGGCAUAGAUGUUGACAAAUCUACUCCAAAUUAAAUUGAAGAGUGUGUUUCAAGCCCAAGCUAACUUUGCUGAAAUCAGUGAGUUGUCGUGUUAUUUUAGCUUGCAGCUGAUACCAGAGCUAAGCUUGGAUGCUGGUUAAAAGUUGCUGAUGAUGAGCCUUUUACAAAUGAAUUCCCUUUGCUGGUUUUGGGGUUCAACCCUUUUAGUUUGAUCUUCAAUGGUGUUACCCUGUUAAAAUACUUGAUUGUAAAGAUUCACAAGGAAAAUGCUUCACUGUUAAGAUAUUGUAGUUUGAAAUCUUGAAAGAAUUUAUCAAACAACAUUUCUUUUUUGUAAAAUUUAAUGUUCAGUAAAUGUUAGAACGCUUGAAACGGAUAGGCAUAACAUAUUCA